rnacentral:rRNA from 1 species
UACGAAGGGGGCGAGCGUUGUUCGGAAUUACUGGGCGUAAAGGGCGCGUAGGCGGCCGAUCAAGUUAGAUGUGAAAGCCCUGGGCUCAACCCGGGAACUGCUUUUGAAACUGCCGAGCUAGAGUGCGGAAGGGGCAACUGGAAUUCCCAGUGUAGCGGUGAAAUGCGUAGAUAUCAGGAGGAACACCGGUGGCGAAGGCGGGUCUCUGGGCCGUAACUGACGCUGAGGAGCGAAAGCAUGGGGAGCGAACAGG